rnacentral:lncRNA from 1 species
CUUCCCCGGCACGCCACAACCCAUGGUAGGGGUCACUGAAAUUGCCACAUGAAGAAAUUUUAAUGAGAAUUAAAUCAAGUUAAGAAGACAAGUUUAGUCUAGAAAUCAAAUUAGAGAAGAAAGACUAUCUAAAAAUUUAUAGUAGAGGAGAAUAUUUAACACCCUAUAUAUGGCCUAUCCUUCUGAUGUCACUAAGGCACAACGGGCUAAGCGAUGCUUAAUGAGAAUGAGGGC